UACGGGGGGGGCAAGCGUUGUUCGGAAUUACUGGGCGUAAAGGGCUCGUAGGUGGCCGACUAAGUCAGACGUGAAAUCCCUCGGCUUAACCGGGGAACUGCGUCUGAUACUGGAUGGCUUGAGGUUGGGAGAGGGAUGCGGAAUUCCAGGUGUAGCGGUGAAAUGCGUAGAUAUCUGGAGGAACACCGAUGGCGAAGGCAGCCUUCUGGGCCAACACUGACGCUCAUGCACGAAAGCGUGGGGAGCAAACAGG
rnacentral:rRNA from 1 species